AUGAAUGAGUCGUCUUCCACGGUUUUCCACCUGCCCCACUUCCACAGAACCCAAAGUCGUCUGCUUUUGCCUCUCAUUCACUCUGAACCCUAUCACACACUUACUUCUUCCCGUCGCUCUAUAUAACUUCACUUCACCACUACUUCUUCUCUCAUGUUCUAAAUCAGGUCAAAGAUUUGGAGGAAAGACACUAGGCUCAGCAAGUUCUUGGUUAUGGGAGGACAGGCAAGAGAAAUAUAUUUGAAAAAAAAUUGUUUUUAUUUAUUUUUUUUUUCAACUUUUGUUUCGAUAUUUCUCUUGCCAACUCCGCCCAUACCUAUGAUUUGCUGAGCUUCUGUUUCUUUCCUGAACGUCCAAGUCUGGUAUUAAUGGAUUGCUUGGUUUUAUUGGCUGGAUGAGGAUUGGAUUUGAAUCGGAGUUGCCUUGCUCAAUUGUCAAUACGAAAGGAGUUCCCCUUAAUGGUAGAGUCAAAAAGGCUGUUCCUCUAACGGCCCUUCGAGGCCACAAGGGACUGGUUGGGUCUUGAGUCUAAAGGGAAAUCUGAUUUCUGUGGCGUUUUCGCUGCACUUCGUUGGCUGACAGAAUUCAUAUGGAUUUUGAUCAUUGUUUAUAGCUGAUGUUGUUUUGGUUAUUGAUGAGUAAGGUAAAAGAAGGAAGAGGAUGAUAAAGGGCACCAGAGACAUGCAGAGAAAUUGAGUGAAAAACCAGACUUGGAAAAUAGAGUUUCAAAUUUACCUUACGACAAAGCACUAUUAGUAUCAAUUGUAUUAUUUUAAAAUUAAUGUUGUUGAUAAAUUUUUUGGAUUCUUGAAUGUGAUAUUCUAUUUUUUAUA